GGAGAGGUGAGAGAGCGGUUGAAUCUGCCUGACUCGAAAUCAGGUGUACCGCAAGGUACCGUGGGUUCGAAUCCCACCCUCUCCGCCA
rnacentral:tRNA from 1 species